rnacentral:lncRNA from 1 species
UCCUGAGAACGCAGAAUGUCAGAGCUUAGAGGCCCUUUAGAACAGGGAAUGUCAGAGCCCUAAGAACACAGAAUAGUUGAGCUGGGAGAGGCCUUAGAACACAGGAUGUCAGAGCUGGGAGAGAGCUUAGAACAUAGAAUGUAUGAGCUUGGAGAGACCUUAAAACAGAGACUGUCAGAGCUGGGAGAGACCUUAGAACAGAGAAUGUGAGAGCUGGGAGAGAGCUUAGAACAGAGAAUGGCAGAGCUGGGAGAGACCUUAGAACAGAGAAUGUCAGAGCUGGGAGAGAGCUUAGAACAGAGAAUGUCAGAGCUGGGAGGGACCUAAGAAUGGAGAAUAUGAGAACUGGGAAAGUCUCUUAGAAAUAUAUAUAUUUUUUACAACCAUCUCAUUUGCAGAUGAAGAAACAGAGUUCCUCUUCUGCAUAAGAAAUUCAGGGGAGAUAGAAGAAAUGUCUUCCAAAUAGCCAGGGUUAUUGUAUAAUGGAAAGAGGUCUGAACAAAGAGUUAAGUGGCUUUGAGUCACAAUAUACAUUUAUGAAUUAUGUGGGCAAGUAAUUUCAUGUCUUGGCCUCAGUUUCUUCAUCUGUUAAAUUGGGAUAAAAAUAUUUGUACCAGCACCACUUUUACUGGGUUAUUUUAAGUAUGAAAUAAAAUAAGGCUAGAUACUGCUUGGUUAGCAGAAAAUGCUCAGGCAAUGUGCACUGUUUGUUGUCAUCAUUAUGAUUCUUAUUACUACUCUUAUCACUAUGACUGUUGUGACUCUUAUUAUUAGAUAUUGGAAAGGAUGAAGAGGAAGAACAUGGGCUCCUUUUCUUUGGGGUCUUUAAAAAUAUAUCUUCUUCCAUUUAUGAUGCAGUUGGUGCUUCCUAGAGUUUAAGGAAUGACUCUAAUAGUCUCCAAGGCCAAGGAUUUCUCUUCUUUUUUUAGGCCUCUGCCCAGCAUUACCCAUUCUCCAAUAAGGUUACAAGGAGGCAGAGAGGCUGCUAUACUUUUUUAGGGGGUUACAGGAACCAGUACCUGUGGUGGGGGAGGGGGAGGGGCCACAUGCAGCUGCUGGAGAUUUUCUGAGAGCAAAUUCCCGUCCUGGGCCAGGCAGUCCUCAUCUGGUGGGAGCAGGAAGGCUGGAGGGGGUGGUGGAGGUGGAAGGAGAUCCAGGUCAGGGAAGUUGUCCUCAGGAUCUGGGGCUGGAGGAGGAAGGGAGGACCCUGAACAUCCCACUGGAGAAUCACUGGGGGGCUUCUUGGACAAGGGAGGUUCCCGGGCCCGACUGGACCGACUUGCACAGGCUGCCUGCCUCACUUCAUCCACCUUUGUUGUGUUCCGUCGAGGGGGAGUUAGGGUGAUGAAGAUAGAGGAGGCCAUCCUCUUCUCUGGCUUGGUAGCCAUCAUCUCCUUCUGGCUUUUCUCUCAGAAGACGGCUAAAGCAAAGAGAAGACUUAGUUAGGGAAGAGCCUGUUUGUGCUCUUUAAAGGUCUUCCAUCCUUUCUUC